rnacentral:lncRNA from 1 species
GUCAACAAGAAUUUAACAUAUAUUAACAAAGUCAAAAAGAAUUUAACAUAUAUUAACGAAGUUAAACAUAAUUUAACAAAUAUAGUAAAAAAAGUACAAUUGUUCAAAAAAAAAAAAACAUAUAUCAAAAUAUCAAUGACGCACACCAUCCACUCUGUAGACACGCCUGCAGAACAAAACCAUUUUCUAAGAAUAUCAAUGACGAAUACCACCCAGAGAUCGUCUCUGCUUGUCGGAUCGCAUCUUCAUAUACCUAGACUCACCAAGAUAGAAGCAAUACAAUAUCGCCGAGAAACGCCAGCCUGAGCCACUGCUAGCCACCCCAUGUGAUCAUCUUCCUCGCCGAGAGACGCUAGCCUAACCACUAAUUAACCUGUGCUGAAAGAAAAAAAUUUGCUGCUAGGAAGAACUGUUUAAUUUGUUUUCUUUUUCGACUCUUAAAAGCUUGUCGAAUAAGAAAAUUGUUGAGAACAAAUUGAAAUUAUAAGAGAGAUGAAAGGAUCAGUUGUUUUGCUUCAUCGAGUAAGUGAUGAUCGCAGAGAAACAGUUUGAUGAAAGUUC